rnacentral:rRNA from 1 species
CCUACGGGGGGCUGCAGUGGGGAAUAUUGGACAAUGGGGGCAACCCUGAUCCAGCCAUGCCGCGUGUGUGAAGAAGGCCCUCGGGUUGUAAAGCACUUUCAGUGAGGAAGAACGCCUGGUGGUUAAUACCCAUCAGGAAAGACAUCACUCACAGAAGAAGCACCGGCUAACUCCGUGCCAGCAGCCGCGGUAAUACGGAGGGUGCGAGCGUUAAUCGGAAUUACUGGGCGUAAAGCGCGCGUAGGUGGCUUGAUAAGCCGGUUGUGAAAGCCCCGGGCUCAACCUGGGAACGGCAUCCGGAACUGUCAAGCUAGAGUGCAGGAGAGGAAGGUAGAAUUCCCGGUGUAGCGGUGAAAUGCGUAGAGAUCGGGAGGAAUACCAGUGGCGAAGGCGGCCUUCUGGCCUGACACUGACACUGAGGUGCGAAAGCGUGGGUAGCAAACAGGAUUAGAUACCCCGGUAGUC